UACGUAGGGUCCGAGCGUUGUCCGGAAUUACUGGGCGUAAAGAGCUCGUAGGUGGUUUGUCGCGUUGUUCGUGAAAACUCACAGCUCAACUGUGGGCGUGCGGGCGAUACGGGCAGACUUGAGUACUGCAGGGGAGACUGGAAUUCCUGGUGUAGCGGUGGAAUGCGCAGAUAUCAGGAGGAACACCGGUGGCGAAGGCGGGUCUCUGGGCAGUAACUGACGCUGAGGAGCGAAAGCAUGGGUAGCGAACGGG
rnacentral:rRNA from 1 species